AGUGAACGCUGGCGGUAGGCCUAACACAUGCAAGUCGAACGGCAGCACACUAUUAGCUUGCUCUUACGGGUGGCGAGUGGCGUACGGGUGAGGAAUACAUCUGAAUCUACUUUUUCGUGGGGGAUAACGUAGGGUAACUUACGCUAAUACCGCAUACGACCUACGGGUGACAGCAUGGGAUCUUCGGACCUUGCGCGAUUGAAUGAGCCGAUGUCGGAUUAGCUAGUUGGCGGGGUAAAGGCCCACCAAGGCGGCGAUCCGUAGCUGGUCUGAGAGGAAGGAUCGGCACCCGGGAAAUGAGGAACGGUCCCGACAUCUGCGGGAAGACACAGUUGGGAAUACUAGAGAAUGGGGGGAAGGCGGAUACAGCCAUACCGCGUGGGUGAAGAAGGACUUCGGGUUGUAAAGCCCUUUUGUUGGGAAAGAAAAGCAGCAGGUUAAUACCCCGCUGUUCUGACGGUACCCAAAGAAUAAGCACCGGCUAACUUCGUG
rnacentral:rRNA from 1 species